UAGGGAAUCUUCCACAAUGGACGCAAGUCUGAUGGAGCAACGCCGCGUGAGUGAAGAAGGUUUUCGGAUCGUAAAGCUCUGUUGUUGGUGAAGAAGGAUAGAGGCAGUAACUGGUCUUUAUUUGACGGUAAUCAACCAGAAAGUCACGGCUAACUACGUGCCAGCAGCCGCGGUAAUACGUAGGUGGCAAGCGUUGUCCGGAUUUAUUGGGCGUAAAGCGAGCGCAGGCGGAAUGAUAAGUCUGAUGUGAAAGCCAACGGCUCAACCGUGGAACUGCAUCGGAAACUGUCAUUCUUGAGUGCAGAAGAGGAGGGUGGAAUUCCAUGUGUAGCGGUGGAAUGCGUAGAUAUAUGGAAGAACACCAGUGGCGAAGGCGGCUCUCUGGUCUGCAACUGACGCUGAGGCUCGAAAGCAUGGGUAGCGAACAGG
rnacentral:rRNA from 1 species